AGUGAACGCUGGCGGUAGGCCUAACACAUGCAAGUCGAACGGCAGCACAGUAAGAGCUUGCUCUUACGGGUGGCGAGUGGCGGACGGGUGAGGAAUACAUCGGAAUCUACUUUUUCGUGGGGGAUAACGUAGGGAAACUUACGCUAAUACCGCAUACGACCUACGGGUGAAAGCAGGGGAUCUUCGCACCUUGCGCGACUGAAUGAGCCGAUGUCGGAUUAGCUAGUUGGCGGGGUAAAGGCCCACCAAGGCGACGAUCCGUAGCUGGUCUGAGAGGAUGAUCAGCCACACUGGAACUGAGACACGGUCCAGACUCCUACGGGAGGCAGCAGUUGGGAAUAUUGGACAAUGGGCGCAAGCCUGAUCCAGCCAUGCCGCGUGGGUGAAGAAGGCCUUCGGGUUGUAAAGCCCUUUUGUUGGGAAAGAAAAGUAGCAGGUUAAUACCCCGCUGUUCUGACGGUACCCAAAGAAUAAGCACCGGCUAACUUCGUG
rnacentral:rRNA from 1 species